GCCAACAAUGCAGUAGACACAAAUGGUCUGGAAGAAAUGGCCACUGUUUCUGUGGAACUUAUUCUUGUGUAAAAAUAUACAUAACUAUAAUCUCAGGCUGCAAACUUACCCUUACAUACUUAAAGGCUAUUUAUGGUAUUCUCGUGAGUCUUUUCAACAUGAAAGAUCUACUAAGUCUCACACAGUGUGCAAAAAUCCUAAAAACAAAGCCCUGAAAAAAGUCACUUUUAAGUAUAAGUAUAAUUUCUGACCUACAUUACUGCUGUGAUGCAAGAGAUGGAGUGGCUUUGACAAGCUUGUGCAAAUCUAAAGAAUUCAAAUUGAACACUGACAUUUUUGUCAUUCAGGUAGGCUGAUGUCCUCCCUACCCACCCCGAAAUGCAACAAGGAGUGAUAGCAUGAACUUAAAUGGAGAGAUAGUAUACCUCUGAACCUGCCAACUCUGAAUAAAAUAAAUUCUACUGCCAAUUGCAAUCUUAUUUUUCUUCCUAGGAGACUUCUUAGUUACAACAGGCUUGGAGAUACAUUAUUAAAUGGCUUGCACUGCCUGCUCCCAGUCCAAGGAGAUGCUCCCAGUCCAAAAUGAAUGUAAAUAAUGAAUGUAAAUAAACAGCACCAUCUUGUAAAGGCUUACUUAGCAGUAGGUCUUGGUGUAUUCAGUAGGGAUAGCUUAUAAAUACUGUAAUUAUCCAUAAUAUUGCAGCUAGAAAACUAAAUUAUUUUCCAAAGAGAGUUUUCUGAAAUCUAAGCAAAAGUAUAAAUGAAGUUAGAAUGUGAACAGAAACUAGUAACGUAAUUUAGCACUUUGAGAGCAUUUUUAAUGAGUUGUGAUAUUUCAAAUAAAUUAUUAGUUCAGUAAUUUAAGUAGUGCCUUUGCUCUUCUUAUAUUCAGCUCUUCAGCCACCAAGACAAGGCCGCCGUGUCCUUCGGAGCCAAGAGGAGUCUAGAGAUAUUCCCUAUCUCCCAAUGGAUCAGUACAAUGUCAUUGGGGAAUGAUGUGAUGAUCUUCCAAGCUAAGGCAAUAAGAUACCAAUGAUCUAGUCAGUGUGCCAAUCAAAUGAUCUAGCAGAAAUUUUAGCUUAUGGAGAAAAUGCCCUUCUGCUUUUCCUAUUAGCCAGUCGAACAGCCUGAUAGUAUGAUAGUAGGACUCCAGUUGUCUGUGCUUGGCCCCCAAAUCACUUACUGCAUUUGUAUUAGCCUUACUAGGUAGACCAGAACAGGAAAUCAACUUUAUUGGAAAGCUAAAAUUAUUUUACUAAGAUUGGUUAUACAGUGAUAUCCUGGUACUCAACCUUAAUUGGUUUGGGGAGCUACGAUGACUACCAAAAAUAGCAAUAGCACUUAGACUUAUAUACCGCUUCACAGUGCUUUACUAAGCACUACACAGGGCUCUCUCUAAGCGGCUUACAGAGUCAGCAUCUUGCCUCCAAAAAUCUGGCUCCUCAUUUUACCCACCUCGGAAGGAUGAAAGGCUGAGUCAACCUUGAGCCUGGUGAGAUUCAAACUACCAAAUUGCAAUUAGCUGGCAGUCAGCAGAAGUAGCCUGCAGUACUGCAUUCUAACCACUGUGCCACCAGGGCUCUUAAUGAUGAGUACCAAGCAAUUUUUCCCCAUAAGGAAUAAUGUAGUGAGUCACAAGGCAGCUGACACUAACAAGUUCUAGCUUGUACAUUAAGUACCAAACAAACAAUGAGCACUGGGACAAAUUUUCAGGUCAAAAUGUAUUGAGUACCAAAUUUUGAAUGCCAAGGCACCACUGUAAUAAUAGGUCUAAUUGUGCAGUACCACCUCCUCCUUAUUCUAGUUCUAUGAAUUAGGGAGGCAUCUGCCUGAGCUUCUCUAUCAAGGUCAUCAUCUUUACUUUUUACAAUUUCUUCCACUAUAGUUACAACUCUUUAAGAAAAAUGGAAACUGAACCGUAGCGCAGGCUUCUAAUUGUGCAUGCACAAUCUACUUAUGUCUUUUCUAUAUAGAUGUAUUGCUGUGCAUGUUAUUUUUAUGGUUAACUUUUAUUUUUGUAUGUUUUGUCAUUUGUAUAGCAUGAGAGAAAAUCCUCAGAAUAUGAAGAAAGAAUGUAAUGUUUACAAUCAGUUCAUUGGGGAUCAAUCUGACAAUGGACUGCAUUAAUACUUAGAAUGUAAGAAGACCCAUGUAAAGGUGUAACACUGGAUAUUUAAUUCAUUUAUUUAUUCAUUUAUAUGAAAGAAUGAAUGUUAAAAAUGGGGGAGGGACUCAUCCUCGGUGAAGACUUCAGAAACUGAAAGUGAAGUCUUGAAAUGUGGGGGGGGGGCUGUACAUUUGGUCAGAAUCCAUGGUCCUUAGACAAGCCGGAUUUAAUACCUCUUUUCAUAAUACUGUCAUUUUUCUUCAUGUAAUAGAAUACAAAAUUUGCAAGGCUUCAGAUUUCCUAUCACAUAGAUAUAGUUUUGGGACAGCAUUUUGUACCUUUGAAAUGCAUACAUUGUAUGCCUUUGCAUAUUUAAAGAGUUACAAAGCAAAAUCCAAAGGAGGAAUAUGUAUGCAUUGCAAAAUGUUUGAAUUGUUUGAAGUGUCCAUUGUAACUAAUUGAAUGACUGAACUGGAUUACCAUUUCAAGUGUGAUAAAAAUGCUAAUUACCAUUUCCUUCUACUUGUUGUCCCUUUAUGAUUUUCAUUAGAACCGAACAGCUACAUGGAAAUAAUAAACCCUCCAAAUUCUG